CUUCCAACAAAAUUCCUACGAUUUCUUAUAAUCCCUACAAUCAGAAGCGAGAAGUUAGCAAUUCUCAUAAGUUUGUGAUUAGGUGAGAACGUGUUUUGUGAUUCUUAUAAGUCUUAUAGGUCAUUUGUGAUUAGAUCAAAACGUUAGCAAUUUAUCACUUCCUACAAAUUUUCAACAAAACUCCUUGUAACCAAAUAAUUCCAACGAGAAUUAUUAGCACAUUAGCAACGUGAGAUUUUGCAAUUCUAAAAGAGUUCAGUGCAACCUUUUCCAAGAAUAUCAUACGGAUUUCUCCCUACUCCAGGUAUGUUAAGGAUAAUCCUUCUUUCCUUUUUGGUAUGAUCCAAGUAACGAUACGUAAACGUAAUGUUAUUCCAUAAGUGGUUCUACUCUUAGUAGUUAAGGAUGUCUAUAUUAUUCAUUCCUGUAAAGCGAUAUUUAAGCAUGUCUAAGUAUGUUACUAAGUAUCCAUUGAGGUAUUUGAUAAAGAUAUUAAUGUUUUUAAUAUAGUGAUACGUGCAUCUUCAUGUACUUACCACCGUGCUAAGGCCGGUCAGGCAGUUACCACCGGUUGGGCAGUUAUGUAUCAUUAUUUAUCACCGGUUGGGUAGACAUGCAUAUUUAUUUACCACCGAGCUACGGCCGAUCGGGCGGUCAUGCAUUUACCACCGAGCUAUGGCCGAUUGGGCAGUUAUAUAUUUACCAUUGAGCUACGGCCGGUCGGGCAGUCAUGUAUUUACCAUCACGCUACGGCCGGUCGGGCAGUUACCACUAAUCAGUUGGGCAGUCAUGCAUCAUAUGAUAUGGAUAAUAGUCUUAAAGAGAAGCAUUGUAUAUAUAUGAGUAUAAUAAGUAUGCAUAUACGGUGGCACUUCAGAGAUUCAGGUUGACUCUUAUAUGUCUUUAAUUAAUGUUGACUUAUUGUUAUGUUUCAGUUCUGCCUUACAUACUCAGUACACUAUUCGUACUGACGUCCUUUUGUUGGGGACGUUGUAUUCAUGCCUACAGGUAUAGAUAAUCAGUUUGACGAGCCCUCAUAGUAGACGAGAUUGGCAUUCAGCAAAUGAUCGGUAAGUCUCCACCUCAUUCGGAGUGCAGCUGAGUCUAUGAGUCAUCCUGUCCGAGUUUUGCUAAUGACUUAUGGGUAGGCCGGUACCCUGUCCCAUUUGAUGUCAAAUAAUCUUAGAGGCUUUGUAGACAGAGUUUCAUUUUGUACAAUAUGUCAGAGGCCUUGACGGCCCAUAUGUAUUAAUGUUUUAAGAAAAAUGGUUCAGUGAUACAGUGUUGCCCACUUAUAGUUAUACAUUAUGAGUUGUGGCCAUGUUGGCCCACGAUAGUUACAGAAGAAAAACAAAUGAGUUACAC
rnacentral:lncRNA from 1 species